UACGUAGGGUGCGAGCGUUUGUCCGGAAUUAUUGGGCGUAAAGGGCUCGUAGGCGGUUUGUCGCGUCGGGAGUGAAAUCCACUGGCUUAACUGGUGGCUUGCUUUCGAUACGGGCAGACUGGAGGUAUGCAGGGGAGAACGGAAUUCCUGGUGUAGCGGUGAAAUGCGCAGAUAUCAGGAGGAACACCGGUGGCGAAGGCGGUUCUCUGGCCUAUAACUGACGCUGAGGUGCGAAAGCGUGGGGAGCAAACGGG
rnacentral:rRNA from 1 species